rnacentral:rRNA from 1 species
ACAAGGUUCCGUAGGUGAACCUGCGGAAGGAUC